rnacentral:rRNA from 1 species
AUUGAACGCUGGCGGCAGGCCUAACACAUGCAAGUCGAACGGUAACAGGAAGCAGCUUGCUGCUUUGCUGACGAGUGGCGGACGGGUGAGUAAUGUCUGGGAAACUGCCUGAUGGAGGGGGAUAACUACUGGAAACGGUAGCUAAUACCGCAUAACGUCGCAAGACCAAAGAGGGGGACCUUCAGGCCUCUUGCCAUCGGAUGUGCCCAGAUGGGAUUAGCUAGUAGGUGGGGUAACGGCUCACCUAGGCGACGAUCCCUAGCUGGUCUGAGAGGAUGACCAGCCACACUGGAACUGAGACACGGUCCAGACUCCUACGGGAGGCAGCAGUGGGGAAUAUUGCACAAUGGGCGCAAGCCUGAUGCAGCCAUGCCGCGUGUAUGAAGAAGGCCUUCGGGUUGUAAAGUACUUUCAGCGGGGAGGAAGGGAGUAAAGUUAAUACCUUUGCUCAUUGACGUUACCCGCAGAAGAAGCACCGGCUAACUCCGUG